AUGUAGUGUAGCAUGCCCGUUUGGUGCUUACUCUGAUGUUUGUGUUAUACUUAAAUGAUUUUGGGUAACGGGGUGUUACAUAUAUA
rfam:Medicago truncatula strain A17 chromosome 7, whole genome shotgun sequence.